GAAAAAAUAGAAAAGUCUCCAAUUUCUAAUCACUAUAGUAAUAUUUGAUUUGGGCAAGAAGCAAUCCAGAUGAAACCAUUAAGUAAAGAUUAUUAUGGGACAGAAUAUUCACACUGUUUCUAUCAUGCCAUAGAUCACUUGUUAAUUACAAAAGGAAAAAGAGGCUGAGAAUGGAGUCUCACGUCUGUAAUCCCAACACUUUGGGAGGCCAAGGAGGGCGGAUCACCUUAGGUUGAGACUGAGCUAAAGUUAAUCUGUGGCGACGUUCUGGAUGUACUGGACAAACACCUCAUUCCAGCAGCUACAACUGGCAAGUCCAAGGUUUUCUAUCAUGAAAUGUAGGUUCUAUACUAACAAUUAACAAGUGUACUUCAAUAAAUUUAAACAUUCUCAGGAAUAGUUGACUUUGUUUCUUUUUUUCUUAGACAUUUCAUAUUAUUUUCCUUAUUAAAUAUAACCAAAAAUCCCACAGAAAUUAACUGAGGAGCCUCUAAAUAUCAACAAAAUUAUCACUUGAUAGACUAGAA
rnacentral:lncRNA from 1 species